rnacentral:tRNA from 1 species
GUCAUACUGGCCGAGUGGUCCAAGGCACUGCGUUCAGGUCACAGUCCUCUUAGGAGGUCGCAGGUUCGAGUCAUGCGGAUUACA